CACUACCACCUCAAAAUACCUACAUCAAUGGAUAGAGCUCCUCAAGACCUAGCUAUUGAUGUCAAUUCUACCCCAAAAAUCCGGCGACCAAAAUCCGGCCUAAUUCUGGCGACCUCCUGGAACACCCUCUUUGGCAUACCACCAUUUUUCGGCCUUUUGAUGUGUAAAAUGAUGUUUUCACAUUAACAAGAAGAUUUGAACUCAUCUUGAUUGUUGGGAGCAUGUCCAUUUACAUAAAUGAGUGCUUAGCUAAAUUUCUUUAUUGUUUAAAUAUAUCUUGUUGUAGUUCAUAUGUAAAAUAAAUCCUUGGUUGAUCAAACACUUUUUUAUUCA